CUCCGCGUGGUCCCUGAAUCCGGAGGUUUGUUCCAAUCCAGCAUCCCGACUGACGUGGCCGACCUGCCUGCUGCACAUCGCCGGAGUCUCGCAGGAACCCCUUCGGUCAGGACGUCCCAGCCUGGCCUUAGAUAGCUAACCGGAGUCUCCGGGGGGGGGGGGGUUCCCCAAAACGGUCAGCUGUUGGGAAUGCACUGUUCCCGAGCUCCCCUCCUCUGCGCAGGUGUGGUUCUGCAGAUUACAAGCGGGACCCCUACUCCGAGGAGAACCCCUGUCUGGCCAUCUGCUGCCGGAACGACCUGCAGUCGGAGCACCCCUCUCCCGAAGGCUGCUACGACACCAAGGUGACUGAUUACGCUCUGGCCCAGCAGCUGGCGGCGGAGGCCAUCAGUGGGCCCACAGUGCAGGGGGGGCUGCCGGCCUUCUCCUGGAGCCACUUCAACGGCACGGCGCACCGGGGGCUCCCCGACACCUACAACUUCACCUUCGUGGGCAUGAGGCCCCUGCUGUUCCAGCCCCGGAGUGAGGGGCCAGGGAGAGGAGGAGGGGGAUAGGAGUGAGGGAGAGGAGGAGGGAGAAGAUAGGAGGGAGGGAUGAG